CAAGAACCUACAACCCAGCAGGGCAGGGCAGAAGCGAAUCGAAUCAGGCAGUGCUCAGGAGGUCAGCAGACUCCCUCUGCAAGCUCUGCCUCUCACUGCUGUGUGGAUUUCCCUGCGAAAUGCUGGAUCACAUGAUAGCUGACACUAGAGAGUGACAGGAAACCAAUCAAGGACAUCGCAAUUAACAUCCUAAGCAAGACGAUUUGACGGCGUCCCGAACCACCACUUAAACAUCCCUAUUCAUCUCAAACUAAAACCUGCGCGAGAGAGAGAAAUACCAACUUGAACCGUCGAGAGAACAAUUUGCAAAAGCCUUGGAAUGUUAUAUACCACUUGCCACUUUCUGGAAAUAAGACUCGCACUGAUGGAGACAACGCUGAUGGCAUUGGCAGCGACAGCAGUGAUAUAACAUGUCAUAACCUUGCGUCCUUGCGCCAAGCGUUUUAGAACCAUCAAUCUGUUUGACCUUUAUCCAGGACUCAGGCCCAUCAUGCACUCAGAUCCUUUCUCUCAAUUUCUUUCACUCUAAUCAGACCUGCCCUGACAAUGAUUGUUACAAAGGAUGUUGGAAGUCUACGUGUGUGUGUGUGAGUAUGUGAGAGAGAGAGACUGAGGAAGAUGGAGAGACAGGGAGAGGCUGCCCUUGAGUGCAUUCACGUAAGAACUGGGGCCACCUGAGAGCAACUGAGCACAGAACAGUGAAGAUGAGAGAAAAUGAAGAGACAAAAGCACUUCCCUGGUGUAAUUAUGCUUUCAUUUCAUGGCCAAGUAUCCACAUGAUGUGCCCCGCAUGCAGAGACACUCAUUAGAGUUAUUGCACACCAGAAAUGUAACUGGCAUCUGCCUGUAGAGAGCAUGGGUGUAUGUAAAGUGAGGGUAAAAUGGCAAAAAUAUCUUCAGUAAAAGAUGUGGAUGUUAUAACUGAGUGGAGGCAUCUUCUUGUUUUAGAUGAACUGUGAAGUUUGGCAUCCCUGAGCCAUUUUGCUUUUGUUUGCAUGUCAUUCCAAAAAAA